rnacentral:misc_RNA from 1 species
AUUUAACCCCAAUUUUUAUCACCUUUCUAGUGACCAGACCAGGGUGGGAUCUAAACUGUAAAACACUAGAACACCUGAAGAAGCCAUAGAAAGGUGAUAAAAAUUGGGGUUAAAUNNNNNNNUAGCAGAUGAAAUGAGUGCCAGUGGCAGUGGCAGUGGCAGUGGCAGCGCAAAUGAUUACUUAGACUAAGGAGGAGGUUGUUUUUGUGACACUUGUGGAUUACGCAUUACAGAGGCUGAAAUGGUACAGUAGAGCAUAGCUCAAGAGACCCAUAAUCAAGCAACUCCUCGAUCAUUUGCUCUAUGUGAUGCUCUUCAAGAGGCUUAAACUGCUGCUGGAUGCUGUCAACCUGUACUUUCUUGACAACCCAGUUCGCCUCUGUCUCUUGAACUUGCAAUGGACAUUUCUCUGGCAACCGGGUACCCAAUUCCUCACUUUUUAUAACAAUGCCCUUAGUGGUGGUGGUGGUGGUGGUGUUAGUGUGUAAAGUCGGGCCUUUUUGUUGUUGUUCACAAAGUGAUGCUUGUUUGGUCAUUUGCAGCGAGGCCAUAUAGCACCUAUGCAAUUUGGCUGUCAAAGUUGCCGAGAGAAGUUUUGAGGGCGAUGAUUGUGAUGCACUGGGAUUAUAAGGGAAAUUGGUCCUAGCCCUUGGUCCACACAUAAGCCUUGCAGCUUCAUCAUAAGCUCGAGCAGCGUCUUCAGCCGUUUCGAAU